AACGAACGCUGGCGGCACGUUUUAAGCUUGCAAGUCGAAUGGUAUGGGGGGCAACCUCCAGAGAAUGGCGAACGGGUGAGUAACACGUAGGUGAUCUACCUUGAGGUUGGGGAUAGCUUGUGGAAACACAGGGUAAUACCGAAUAAGGUUCACAGACUUUGGUCUGCGAAAGAAAGGGGCGUUUGCCUCGCCUUGGGAUGAUCCUGCGGCUGAUUAGCUAGUUGGUGGGGUAAGAGCCUACCAAGGCGACGAUCAGUAGCCGGCCUGAGAGGGUGUACGGCCACACUGGGACUGAGACACGGACCAGACUCCUACGGGGGGCAGCAGCUAAGAAUCUUCCGCAAUGGGGGCAACCCUGACGGAGCGAUGCCGCGUGAUUGAUGAAGGUCGAGAGAUUGUAAAGAUCUUUUCUGGGUGAGGAAUAAGUGUGGCAGGAAAUGGCUGCAUGAUGACGUUAACCCAGGAAUAAGCCCCGGCCAAUUACGUGCCAGCCGCCGCAGUAA
rnacentral:rRNA from 1 species